rnacentral:SRP_RNA from 1 species
AGCCGGAGGUGGCAAAGCGCAGAGCCGGGUAACCCCGCCAGGCCUGAAAGGGAGCAACGGUAACCGGACUCGCGUUGUUGCUGCCUUCGGCGUUU